GUCAGCGACACGUACUGAACGUCCCGUGCGUGUGGUCAAAGUCGCCCACAUCCGGCUCGAGAGUAGUCGAGUCAUUCUCGAAGCCUGCCGCCGCCGCGGACGGCUUGCCCAAAUCCAGCAGUUUACGGCGAGCUGCGGUAGCUCCGGCCGGUGAGCACCGGAAUACGCUGGGCUCGAGUUCCUGCUUGAUGUCGUAGACAGGUUUCCGCGGUCCUCUGGCGGCGCUCCCGCGAGCUCGUUUCGCUUCUGCUGCUCCGGCCUACUCAAAUGCCAGCUCAGGUUGCGGGCAGAAAAAAUCGCCGGCGACGCCAAUCUUCUCCGACAAGGUCUGCUGAAUCGACGGACAGGGUGAACCCCGAGGCUCCGGGUUUGACAAAGUGGGGAGGGAAGCCCGAUGCAGAGAACAUCAGGUCGUGUAGGUGCGAAUGCUCCGCUUUGAUAUGGCUCCAAUGUGCGCCUGAGAACAGUUGACACAUAACAGAACAUAAUGAGAGCCACAAUCAUUUCAUGUUUCUCACGAUCAUAGUGAAGGUGCACUGGCUGUCUCACAAACACAUCGAUGUUCACACGAAAGACCUGAUUAGGCAGCUAAGGGAAAACAAUGUCAACCUUGGUAAGGUGUAUAGCAUAAUUGGAAGUUUCUUUGGCUCCGUUGAGAAGGUACAAUUCACCAAGAGGACGCUCAGGAACAUAUGCGGCAAGAUAAGCCGUAGGCAAGCUGACUUGUACUCAAGAAAUAUGUACUCAGAAUCAAAUGUGAUAAUUGUGUUUUAAAUUCUGUAACAUGUACUCUGACGGUUUUCUGGUGUGUUUCAGUGAGCACUGCCCCACGCUUAUUCCUCAUGGGACGUGAGGCUGUA